rnacentral:rRNA from 1 species
UACGUAGGGGGCGAGCGUUGUCCGGAGUUACUGGGCGUAAAGCGCACGCAGGCGGUCUGCUAAGUUUGGAGUGACAGUUGGUGGCUUAACUGCCAAAGUGCUUCGAAAACUGACAGACUUGAGGGCUUCAGAGGGACACGGAAUUCCGGGUGGAGUGGUGAAAUGCGUAGAGAUCCGGAGGAACACCAAAGGCGAAGGCAGUGUCCUGGGGAGUACCUGACGCUCAGGUGCGAAAGCCAGGGGAGCGAACGGGAUUA